rnacentral:miRNA from 2 species
UUUCAGGAGGUGAACCAGCA